rnacentral:tRNA from 4 species
GCACCUGUAGCUCAGCAGGAUAGAGCAACGGUUUCCUAAACCGUGUGUCGCACGUUCGAAUCGUGUCAGGUGCACCA